AUAGCAGCUCUCUGGCUGAUCCCGGUUCUACGUCUCCGAGAAGUAGAGUCACACUUGCCUCCGAGACGCCGUAGAGGAUGCAUCUCCGUCGGUUCCCGAGCUUGAGCGAUGUAAACACAAUUAUUUCCGAUCGAGCAGUACACGCGUGGAAUUCAAUAACAAUACCAGUGACCCACGAGUAACAACUGAAAACAUUCGUUCUAGUGAGACUAGUGAAAUCAAAUACUGACAGCCAUUUUUUUAUCGCGAGUGCACGAACGUUGACCAAUUGACAACUUUGAAAACAGUGAACUGUAAUAUUUGGCCGUGUGAUUAUUUCUUGUGUUUCCUUUCCUUAUUUUUUCUAUUUCUGUUCUUCAUAUACAUUGUCACGGCAACGUUUUCAUCGAGACUCAAACCCUUUGUGAUUUUUGUGUUGGAUUGAACGUUGCACGACGGAAAUACAGUGCGAUCUUGAUAUCCAAACCAUCAGUGGACACGCUCGACCUGUACAGAGAUGCCGAGGAGCAGAAAUCGCUGAGAUUUUAUACACGGCCGGAUACGGCCCAAGGAAGAAUCAUCAUGGAGUGAUCUUCACUCUCUGGUCAAGGAUGACGCGUACGUGCGUGAAGACGUGAAAUUGAAGAAAUAAGGAAUAAAUAUGGGAAACAAUAGCAGUUCUCAUCAGCACUAUGCGGCGGGUGGUGGUCUGGCCCAGGAAAUGGGGCGCGGAUGGACCCAUUCCUUUCCACGUGAAUUGACCAGACACUCUCAACCUCAGGGACUCAAGGUACUUCCGGAACCACCCAAUCAGCGACUGCGCGCUACCAAUAAUGGAAGUAUCAUACAUAAUGGUGGUACCAUAAGUGGACGCAGACCAUCCGCAUUGACGUUGCCGCAUAACCUCAAUAAGCAAGCAGCGUACAGAUCUCGCAGUACCUCGGCAACUGGAUAUAGCAAUGCAGGUCGUACUCAGAAUUCAAGUGAUCAGUGCUGCCACUAUCCGGGCGAGUCGCGCGACAGCGAGAUGUCCGAGAUGAAGAGAUUCGGAAGCGAACCUGACCUGAGAUACUCGCCGUCGGAACGGCGACACGAGCCUCGUCACCAGGGAUACUCGGAACGGGACGCCCGGGAGAGAGAGAGCCGUUACAAGGGCAAGAAGAAGUACAAAGCUCCGGCACCGCCGGCAAACGGGGAUUCCUCCCCGGACUCCUACAAGUGGGAAAUCGGUCUGGACCGUGAGACACGUUCGGAUGAGAUACAGCCUCCACCCAGGAGGUCGCGACUCUUCAAGACCAGAGCGGAAACGAAGCGGGCCCAAGUAAAUUGGACUUCGUUGCAGGAACGCGUGGACGUUGAACAGGAUAAGAGGUGGCUGGCGUCGCGUCAGGAGCGCGUUGGCAAGGAGAAUAUAAUCUGGCGGGAGCAGGAGGAGCGUUGGGAUCGUGAGGAGCGAAGAUCUAAGCACUUUGACGGGAAGAAUACUCUUCAGAGGAGUCUGAGCAGUCCGGAGUUCCAGGCGGAACUGAUGCAGGUCGCUAGGAAGGUUCGCAAUAAGUUAAAUUACAAACGGGAAGCUCCCGUGGGCGAGGCCGCUCCUGCCAAUCAUCGGGGGGAAGUGCCUGGUAGGACUCAGAACAGUCGCACUGCCGAUGAUCGGAAUGCCAGAAGACACGAGGACCGAUUCGAUGAUCGUAGGAUGGAUAAACGGAGCGGCAGGAGUCAGGAGGAGUACUUUGAGGAUCGACGUAAUGGUGACAGUAGGCUCGUAGCUCGAUUACAGAAUGACAGGAGGUUCGAUGACAGGCGUCCUGACGGUAGAAGGAGCGACAGCCUCUCUAAGGAAUCCUUCGAGAAUCGUCAGGACGAGAUAAGAAAUUCCAAGCACGAGCUACUUAGAAAAUCUACUACCUAUGAUGGCACUAGCGAACCCGUCGAUGGUUCCCGUCGUGGGAAUGGCCGGAAGUCGUUGAACGACAGGCUGGACGCCAGAGGACACUCUCUGGAUAAGCAGAGGAGGGACUGUUCCGAGGAGAUGUCUAGACACGGUGACAGAGCGAAAAAUCGGAAGUUGGACGACGUAAUAGAUUCUGCCAGGACCAGGUCCGAGAGUCCUGUGCGGCAGUUCAGGGAUAAGGUAGAUCUUCGAGGUCAGGGAUCCGGGAGGGAAAGUACGCCGGAACCACCGAGAAGUAAGGAUCGCGACAGCAAUGACUCCAGGAGACGAAACGUCGACUUGAGGUCCAACGUCUUCAAGAGCAACGAGAAACGGAAGUCCGAGCCUGUGACGAAACUGGAAGCGAAGGAAACAAAAACCAAAGAGAAGCUCUAUAGAAAAACGGGAGACGUCAAAGGUGUCCAUGAGAGGAACUGGGAGAUUUUAUCGCCAACGGAUAAGUCACCGCCCAAGACAUUUUACUUCGGUAUGGACGAGUCAUUGUCAAACAAAUCUAGAGAUUGCAUUGAUCAGCUUAAAUCGAGUUUACAGUCAAUGGAGAGUUCGCCGGAAGGGCCAUCGAUCGACGUAGACGAUGUAAAUUCCAGAGAAAAAAACGGAACUGACGAUAUAGCCCUGAAACUGAGACCAACCCUCCCUAAGAAACAAUUGGAAAUACCGCGAUUCUCACCUUCAGCCGCCUGGCGGCUGCUCUCAGCAUUAGAGACUCCUGGACCAACGAUGAGCACAGCAAGCGAAGAUUGUCCGGUGUUAUUUGAGGAACGGAUUGAGCGACUCUCAAGAGGGCCGCCACCAAUUGUAGCCCUGGGACCACGUUCGUCACAUGACAAAUCUGGAGAUUCUGGUAUUUCUGGUGAUGCAGGCGCUGUCAAUGACGAUUCCUUGGACAUCACUGCUAUCGGUAGAACCAAAACUGCAGUGAGACCAACAUGGACGCCGCAGCAAGAUCUUGGCGAGGAAUCGAGUAGCGACGCCGGCGUCGACUCUCCGCCCCCAAUGGUGACGCCUGUUAAAUUCCCACCAAGGGCCCAUGUGUUUUCGCUGUCAUUGCCACGGGAUGACAAUAGAAUGUCCCUCUACAGUUCAGAACUUAAGAGCAAAGAUAGUCCGCCAUUUAAUUCUCUGCAAAAGCUCAAAAGAUCCGUUUCCGGCGCCCUUGGACUUGGACUCAUGGAUUUAGAGCGGAAGCAGCGCGGUGACACUCUGGAUGACAAUUGGAUGCUAUCCACAAGCGCGCCUAAUUCUCUUCAGCAUAAUCAGGUGAAUGAGAGUGCCGCUAUAGCUUCACCUGUAUGGGAGCCUGGAUUCGGUAUGGAAGAUAUGGAAGAGGACGAAGAGGACAAAUCAGAUUUUCCUAUCAUUAUGAAACCACCGUCAUUCUCAUAUCUGGCUUCCGGUGGUCACGUGAUGUACUUACCAGAGUCUAGUGGUACUGAGUACCAAACCCAGAGUCUCACCUACAGAAACACAAGUUCCGAGAAUGAUAAGACAUCCUGUAACGCUGGUUCUAAGUACAGAAAGAACAUGGAGGACGUGAAGAAGUCCUCUAGGUACCCCACGGGAUCAGCGGAAAUUGAACGAUCUUCAAAGAUAGCUAAGGAUCUUGGACUAUUCAGAGAACGAUCUUUUAACGAUCUACGACAAAAAUCAUACAAGUACUCGAGCUUCUCGAAAUCCUGCGAGAAUAUAUCCGAGAUGAAACAGCGAGGUAGGUCACCAUCGCCAGGACCAGAAAAUCUUCAGGACGCCAAGGAGACUCUCUCGGAUCUGAAGAUUACACCGAAACAAAACUCUAAAUCUAAGAGAUUCACAUUCCAAUCGACUGUACGCCAAAUCGAAAGGCGCAGAUUAGCAGAGAAAUUAUCACGCGAAGCGGAGGCUAAGGAACGUCAAAGGAAGGGAGAACUGGAAGCGAUGAGAAAAGUCGAGGAAGAGUUUCAGAAGAAACGAGCGAGAGAGAAGGCGAGCAUUAGACAGCAAUUAAGAUUAUUUAGCAUGGAUGAAAAUAUCAGUAGCCUACCGACCGUCUGGGACAACAAUACUCAACUAUCCCGAGCUGAUCCAGAUGGCGCACCUUCCUCAUCGGCAUCCUCGCCCACCUCAGCGACGCCGGGAAAACUCGCAGCUACUCGUAAGAACAGCGCCAGUAGUGACGAAUACAACAGGAAAAUAGUUCCUGGAGAGGAAUAUCGUCAGCAGCAACAACAACAACGAGAAUACAAAGACUACCGACCACGAUACUACGACUGGGCGCCUGAAAAUUCAUCGCACAUAGAAUACAAGCAUACCACCGUUCAUCCUAAGGUCGUCUACGACAUACCCAAGAGCAAUCCAGUCUUCAUCGACGCAAAUGUUCACAUUGGCAAACCAAUCAAUCCAAACGGCACUCCAAGAUCGGAUAAUUACAGGAAGGAUUUUGCCCACGGUGCCGUGGCGGCCAGAUCGUCCCUUGCAAGUAGCGACAGCGAACUCUCGCAGCCAAACACCAGACCACACUCCAGACAAACCGGAAACAAGAAUAAGCCACUUCGAUCUAGGUAUGAUCGUAGUAUGAUAUCAUUGAUUGCCCUGAAUGCAGCUUGAAUCCAUAGUGCGAGAUUAAUCGAAGGAUGCUCCAGAAAAUGAGUAAUUUGGAGUUAAAGGACGUUAACGCUAUACGCAUGUGCAUGGAUGGAUUCCUUAAGGUUUUAAGGUGGGCGUAAAAAGUAAAUAGUCUUAACACCUCUAGUCAUCUAACAACGCUUCAUUAAAACAAAACGAUAGAGAGAAAGCAUUAUAAAGAUAUAAGCAAAUCGUGCGCUUCUAACUACGCCUUGGGAUUCGUGUAGCUGUACAAUAGGUAUGCUGGUACCUGUGGUACAAUAUGGAGCGAAUGCGGUUUGCGCGCUUUAAUGGAAACGAGAAUGAAAUAUGGAAAAUGAUUCGAGGAAUUUUUAUGAAAUGUAAGGAAAACAUGUUUUGUCUUUAUAUAUAUAUGUAUAAGUGAAUAAGGUAGAGAGUGUAAGAAAACGUUAACCAGGUCGGCUAGCCCAGCAAGAAGCGAGGACGUCGUCAGCUCUGAGGAUGAAAUUCCCUUGGAGGCUAUCAAACAAGAACGGAGUCCUUUGAAUGGCUUGAUGCUCAAUGGAAUUCAGCCAUUUGUCAGAGAGAAGAGCUACCGGCCAAUUUCUUUCAAUCCACAACCCCCUCCGCCUAUUCCCAGUUAGGCAUUAAUCAUAGUUACUGUAAACUACUCGAUCAAUGUAUCUAUAAUUAGUCAUUUAGAGAAAUUAUCGAAAUCCCGUGUCCGUAUAUAAUAAUAUAGUGGAUAGACAGAAUUGAUUAUACACAUAUUAUACAUAUAUAGAUAAAUUAUUUUUAUGAUUGUUUUUACACAAUGGACAAAAUGUAAUAUAGAUGUAAUACCGUUUAAAUGAUUCAGUUAAAUUUAACUAAUUAGAAUUAAGAGGUUGGACAAAAGAAAUGGGGCGAACAGAGCAAGUUGCCUUAUUUUUUAAGUUUUGCCUCACUAAUGAUUAAUCGUAAUUAAUCGACGAUUAUAUUUAGAUAUAACCACAUUCCGAUAUCUAUGACUAUAAUUAAAUGAGUAUAUUCGUAUUGCAUAACUCAAAACUCAUCGUAACUCCUAACCAAAUGUGUUCCGUGUACGACGCUGCAGCUGACGUCUCUCCGUCUUGUACUUACUUCCAUUUUACGAAUAAGUAUUAACAAACCGUCCAAUCAAAGAUCAUUAGCAUAAAGGAAAUGUAAUUACAUCACAACGAACUAUACAUAAGAGGAGUUGAAGUGACGCUUCGUAUUGGUAAAUAUUAUCGGAUACGUUUUUUGGUUUUUUUUUUUUUCCAAGAGGUUUAGGAAUAGUAUAUAUAGAUAUACAUAUUGUAAUUAUGUACAGGGAACAAACGGACAACGAUAUUUGCUCAUGUAACGUAAUCAAAUAAACGGAAAUAUUGUUACAAA